GCUCGAUUUAGGUGGCAGUGACGACUGUGUUGAGAUAUCGUCACUUGGUGUAAGUGGCAUGAGUUGCUGUCGCUCGAUAUAGGUGGCAGCAACGACUGUGUUGAGAUAUCGUCACUUGGUGUAAGUGGCAUGAGUUGCUGUCGCUCGAUUUAGGUGGCAGCAACGACUGUGUUGAGAUAUCGUCACUUGGUGUAAGUGGCAUGAGUUGCUACCGCUCGAUUUAGGUGGUAGUGACGCCUGGUUGUGAGAUAUCGUCACUCAGUAGAGUGGCAUGAGUUGCUACCGCUCGAUUUAGGUGGUAGUGACGCCUGGUUUUGAGAUAUCGUCGCUCAGUAGAGUGGCAUGAGUUACUAUCGCUCGUUUAGGUGAUAGUAACGACAGACGUGUAAAGAGUAAUUGGAUUUUCAAGUUUGGUUGUUUAUAGUGUGUGAAUACUGGUCAAUGGUCCGUUUACCGUGUCGGAGUAGUUGAUUUAUCAUGAUGUAAUGUGAACUCGUGUAGAGUCACGAGUAGAGCUCAUGUAGAGUCACGAGUAGAGCUCAUGUAGAGUCACGAGUAGAGCUCGUGUAGAGUCACGAGUAGAGCUCAUGUAGAGUUACAAGUAGAGCUCAUGUAGAGUCACAAGUAGAUCUCAUGUAGAGUCACAAGUAGAGCUCAUGUAGAGUCUCAUGUUAGGUCAGGAAUGACCGAGCGAACUUGGAUACUGUGCUGUGGUAUGUUGUUUCAGAUUCACACACGAGGACGUGUGUCGCGCAGGAUGGCCGUGUCGGAGUUAGUUAUGAAUAAAGAAGAGAAAUUGAUCAAAUUAGACACUAUAAUGAAGUUGCAACACUUCCAUCAUGAAGUUGCAACGCUCCGACGUCAGGUGGCGUACGAGCAGAGCGGAGUGAAGUCGGGAGUCACUACAGAGUCGUCGUGUCGAGCAGACGUGCACUGCCGUUCUAGUCGGGCAGUCUACCGCGAACCAUCGUCAUGAGCGGACGUGUCGAAUAAUUACGAGGAGUGCUAUAGUCGCUCACCUAUAA